rnacentral:rRNA from 1 species
CACGUAGGGCGCAAGCGUUGUCCGGAAUUACUGGGUUUAAAGGGUGCGUAGGUGGGCCUGUAAGUCAGUGGUGAAAUCUUCAAGCUUAACUUGGAAACUGCCAUUGAUACUAUAGGUCUUGAAUUAUCUGGAGGUAAGCGGAAUAUGUCAUGUAGCGGUGAAAUGCUUAGAGAUGACAUAGAACACCCAUUGCGAAGGCAGCUUACUACGGAUUGAUUGACACUGAGGCACGAAAGCGUGGGGAUCAAACAGG